rnacentral:rRNA from 1 species
CGGGUGAGUAACGCGUGAGGAACCUGCCUCAAAGAGGGGACAACAGUUGGAAACGACUGCUAAUACCGCAUAAGCCCACGGCUCGGCAUCGAGCAGAGGGAAAAGGAGUGAUCCGCUUUGAGAUGGCCUCGCGUCCGAUUAGCUGGUUGGUGAGGUAACGGCCCACCAAGGCGACGAUCGGUAGCCGGACUGAGAGGUUGAACGGCCACAUUGGGACUGAGACACGGCCCAG